ACUUUAAUUGAAGAGUUUGAUCAUGGCUCAGAUUGAACGCUGGCGGCAGGCCUAACACAUGCAAGUCGAGCGGUAACAUUUCAAAAGCUUGCUUUUGAAGAUGACGAGCGGCGGACGGGUGAGUAAUGCCUGGGAAUUUGCCCAUUUGUGGGGGAUAACAGUUGGAAACGACUGCUAAUACCGCAUACGCC
rnacentral:rRNA from 1 species